AACGAACGCUGGCGGCAUGCCUAACACAUGCAAGUCGAACGAGACCUUCGGGUCUAGUGGCGCACGGGUGCGUAACGCGUGGGAACCUGCCCUUAGGUUCGGAAUAACUCCCCGAAAGGGGUGCUAAUACCGGAUAAUGUCUUCGGACCAAAGAUUUAUCGCCUUUGGAUGGGCCCGCGUUGGAUUAGCUAGUUGGUAGGGUAAAAGCCUACCAAGGCGACGAUCCAUAGCUGGUCUGAGAGGAUGAUCAGCCACACUGGGGCUGGGACACGGCCCAGACUCCUACGAGAGGCGGCAGUGGGGAAUAUUGGACAAUGGGCGAAAGGCUGAUCCGGCAAUGCCGCGUGAGUGAUGAAGGCCUUAGGGUUGUAAAGCUCUUUUACCCGGGAUGAUAAUGACAGUACCGGGAGAAUAAGCUCCGGCUAACUCCGUG
rnacentral:rRNA from 1 species